rnacentral:lncRNA from 1 species
AAAGUGGAAGCACGGAGUGCUCCGUGCUUCCAUAAGCAUACCAGACGCACUAUAUAUAUAUAUAGAGAGAGAGAGAGUUGAGUUAGAAUACUAUCGAUAGUAAACAGGCUCCGUUGACACCCAUUUGUUUUCGAUGAUAGAGCCUCCAAAUUGACGAUCGGCACCGUUGAACAUAAUCUAUACCACUUGAAAUAUUUAGAAAUCAAAUUUCAAAUCUUUUCAACAUCAUUUGCCUAAUGAUCAAAGGGUUUCAAAAUUUGUAAUUUUAAUGGUCGAUAUGAGGCGUUUUUUCGUUUAACGGCGUAAAAAUAAACAAAUCAAUUGAAUUUUUGUUAGAAAUUUUUUAAAACUAUUUAAAACAAGAUCUAUACUCUUGAUCUUGAUUA